rnacentral:tRNA from 1 species
CGGGGAGUGGCGCAGUUUGGUAGCGCGGGCGGUUUGGGACCGUCAGGUCGCAGGUUCAAAUCCUGUCUCCCCGACCA